rnacentral:rRNA from 1 species
UACGUAGGUGGCAAGCGUUGUCCGGAUUACUGGGCGUAAAGAGCGCGCAGGCGGUCGUUCAAGUCGCGUGUGAAAGCCCCCGGCUCAACUGGGGAGGGUCACGCGAUACUGAUCGACUCGAAGGCAGGAGAGGGAAGUGGAAUUCCCGGUGUAGUGGUGAAAUGCGUAGAUAUCGGGAGGAACACCAGUGGCGAAGGGCGGGUCGCUGGGCCGAUACUGACGCUGAGGAGCGAAAGCG